GAUGAACGCUGGCGGCGUGCCUAAUACAUGCAAGUCGAGCGAACAGAUGAGGAGCUUGCUCCUCUGACGUUAGCGGCGGACGGGUGAGUAACACGUGGAUAACCUCCCUAUAAGACUGGGAUAACUUCGGGAAACCGGAGCUAAUACCGGAUAAUAUAUUGAACCGCAUGGUUCAAUAGUGAAAGACGGUUUUGCUGUCACUUAUAGAUGGAUCCGCGCCGCAUUAGCUAGUUGGGAAGGUAACGGCUUACCAAGGCAACGAUGCGUAGCCGACCUGAGAGGGUGAUCGGCGACACUGGAACUGAGACACGGUCCAGACUCCUACGGGAGGCAGCAGUAGGGAAUCUCCCGCAAUGGGCGAAAGCCUGACGGAGCAACGCCGCGUGAGUGAUGAAGGUCUUCGGAUCGUAAAACUCUGUUACUAGGGAAGAACAAAUGUGUAAGUAACUAUGCACGUCUUGACGGUACCUAAUCAGAAAGCCACGGCUAACUACGUG
rnacentral:rRNA from 1 species